CCUACGGGUGGCUGCAGUGGGGAAUAUUGGACAAUGGGGGCAACCCUGAUCCAGCCAUGCCGCGUGUGUGAAGAAGGCCCUCGGGUUGUAAAGCACUUUCAGUGAGGAAGAACGCCUGGUGGUUAAUACCCAUCAGGAAAGACAUCACUCACAGAAGAAGCACCGGCUAACUCCGUGCCAGCAGCCGCGGUAAUACGGAGGGUGCGAGCGUUAAUCGGAAUUACUGGGCGUAAAGCGCGCGUAGGUGGCUUGAUAAGCCGGUUGUGAAAGCCCCGGGCUCAACCUGGGAACGGCAUCCGGAACUGUCAAGCUAGAGUGCAGGAGAGGAAGGUAGAAGUACCGGGGUAGCGGUGAAAUGCGUAGAGAUCGGGAGGAAGACCAGUGGCGAAGGCGGCCUUCUGGACUGACACUGACACUGAGGUGCGAAAGCGUGGGUAGAAAACAGGAUUAGAUACCCCGGUAGUC
rnacentral:rRNA from 1 species